rnacentral:tRNA from 1 species
CAAGAGGUAGUUUAAUAAAAUAUUAAUUUUGGAGAUUAAUGAUGAGGUAAUUCUUCCCUUUUGA